rnacentral:sRNA from 1 species
UCGCGCAAAGCGGUCGAUGACGGUAAGGC